rnacentral:lncRNA from 1 species
GGUAAUAGAAUAAUCCCACAUUGUAAAAAUGUAGAAGUGAGAUGGCAACAAUUUCCUAUAUAAAAAGAGAGGAACAGGCAUUCCCAUAGUUCAAAUUUUUGGAAGGACAUCCAUGGUUCCUUUAAACAUGGCAAUUGUUUUCCCAUCGAUAUGAACAAUUUCUGGAAGGGCUUCCUAAAAUCAAGGGUAAAGUCUUAAAAAAACAUAAAUUAAAAAUUUUGAAUUUCAUUUCUUCCCAUAUAUUAACAGUGCCAACAUGAUAUAGAUAUUCAGGUACGACCCUUGAAUGCGCAAUUGUACGUCAUCAAGUCAUGACCAGUAAUAUUUAAUCCAAUGUCUAAAAUAAUAUAAUGCACAGGACACUAACAUAUGUACGACAUAAAAUAAUAUACUGCAUAAGAUACUAACACAUGUACGACGCAAAAUCGAUCUAAUCGAUAUAGUCAACUUGGUACAUAUAGUAUUAGACAUAUAUCAACCAGGCGAACCCGGCUCCUUACGGCACACAAUUCGUUUAUGAUUAGCUUGGGCAUGUAGCAAUUUGAUGUAAGUAAAAGUUGUUAAACAUCUUCUGAAUUUAUAUAAAUAUAAUAACAGUAGAUGGAAUUAUUUAGGAUUGUGAGUUUGGAAUAAACUAUAUUACAGUUUGAAUUAUUUAGUCAAUAAUGAAAUUAAUUGUUUUGAUUUUUUUUUUAAAUUUCAUGACCUAUUUGCUUUUAAUGAUAAUUGAAACAUAUAUAACAUAAAAUUAAACCUGAAAAUAAACAUACGACAUACAAGCAAUAAUUUAGAGUAAUAUCAAUAGAGAGUAUGAUGAAUAGAACCAUAUGUCAAUAGAGAGUAAUACAAUGUUGCCAAAAUCGUAAUGAUAAGAUCAGUUACCUAUUUACAUAGUUACCUUCUCCAUUGUUGGAAAUUUUGAUAACUAAAUUUCACUAUUUUUCUAAUGUACUUGAAUUUAGAACUUUAGAUGCAGUUACUGCAUGUUGUUAAAAAAAUAAGAAGGGUUGCCUAAUUGCCUUUGGUUUCUUGUUUUAUUUUUAUAACUUUUUGUCAAGGGUAAUUGUCUAAUUCUCUAUAAUUGGUAUUUAGUUUUUCUGAAAAUGCUUUGUUUAAUAAUUACAUGAUUUAUAUCUAAAUAAAUAUGGAUAAUUAUACGUAGUUUAAUAAUCCAGUGAGGAGGAGAAUCCAGAAACAUUUUUGGAUAUGGUUCUCUAAUAUGGAUUCGGGUAUGUCAAUUCUGAACCCAAUAUCAAAUUGACAUUACAGAACAUCAGAAAAACUUAUUUUACAGGGAAAUGAUUGAAAAUCAAAAUUACAGUUCAAUUUCAGAGUUCAGACAAAAUUUCUUUUCGAAAUUUAUAAAAAUGCAAUCGGUAUCGGAAAGAGAAUCAGAUGCAGCAACUUUUGAAAUGAGAAACAAUAUGAAAACCCAUUUCGAAUAUAUAUCAAUUAAAUUAAAAAAAAAACUCUGAAAGUCUAGGGUCAGAUGUUGGAUCAAAAUUCUCACAAUUAUUGGGAUCUAUAGGAAUACAAACACGACCUGUAGUAAAGCAAAAAAACCAUCCAAAUCACAGUAAAAUUCUCUAUAUUCAGAAACAUAAAGACCCAUGAUUUAAGUAACAUAACUUUUGAUUAAAAUAGAACCCAUGAUUUAAAAUAGAACAAGUGCAGUACUUUAAACAACAGAACUUUAAAUACAUGAUUUUAAGCAGAGAAAUACCCAAUCAUAUUGGAGAAAUAUGAUUGGGCUUUAAACAGAGAAAUAUUUUAAAUGAGGAUUGUAUUGUGAAAAAUGUUGUGAUUGUGAUUAUGAUUUAGGGAGGAUUGUAUUGUGAAAUAUUUUUCACCAAGAACAUAAAACUAAACCGGAGGAUGUCAUAGAACUCACCAAAUCCUCACUGUCAUCACUGUCCUCACUGCGGAAGAUGAAGAACUCGAUCACUGUCCUCAUUGCGCCUGCCGGAAGAUGAAGAACUCGCGCGCGCCGGAAGAUGAAGAAGUCGCAGUCGCCGAUGCCGGAAUGGAAUGCAAGAAAUCAAUCGGAACGAUUGGAUUUGGGAGAAAUUGAAAAUCGGGAGGGGUUCGGGUUUAGAGAUUUGGGGAUUUUAAU